rnacentral:rRNA from 1 species
GACAGAGGUGCCGAGCGUUAGGCGGAAUCACUGGGCUUAAAGCGUGUGUAGGCGGAUCUGUAAGUACCUUGUGAAAUCCCACGGCUCAACCGUGGAACUGCUUGGUAUACUGCGGGUCUUGAGCCACCUAGGGGCAAGUGGAACAAACGGUGGAGCGGUGAAAUGCGUAGAUAUCGUUUGGAACGCCAAUGGUGAAAACAACGUGCUGGGGGUGUGCUGACGCUGAGACACGAAAGCCAGGGGAGCAAGCGGG